rnacentral:rRNA from 1 species
GACAAACCGUGCGAACGUUGUUCGGAAUCACUGGGCUUAAAGGGCGCGUAGGCGGCCCGCCGCGUCCGGGGUGAAAUCCUCCCGCUCAACGGGAGAACGGCCUCGGAUACGGGCGGGCUGGAGGGGGGUAGGGGCAGGCGGAACUGUGGGUGGAGCGGUGAAAUGCGUUGAGAUCCACAGGAACUCCGGUGGCGAAGGCGGCCUGCUGGACCCCAUCUGACGCUGAGGCGCGAAAGCCAGGGGAGCGAACGGG